UACGGAGGGUGCAAGCAUUAAUCGGAAUUAUUGGGCGUGAAGAGCGUGUAGGUGGAAAAGAAAGUUAGAUGUGAAAGCUCGAAGCUUAACUUCGAAAUUGCGUUUAAUACUUCUUUUCUAGAGGAUAGGCGGAGAAAAUGGAAUUCCACAUGUAGCGGUGAAAUGCGUAGAUAUGUGGAGGAACACCGGUGGCGAAUGCGAUUUUCUAGCUUACUCCUGACACUAAGGCGCGAAAGCAAGGGGAGCAAACAGG
rnacentral:rRNA from 1 species